CGGCAAUGGAGGAAACUCUGACCGAGCAACGCCGCGUGAACGACGAAGUACUUUGGUAUGUAAAGUUCUUUUAUCAAGGAAGAAAAGCAAGUGGCGAACCAUUUGUUUGCCGGUACUUGAUGAAUAAGCCCCGGCUAAUUAUGUGCCAGCAGCCGCGGUAAGACAUAAGGGGCAAGUGUUAUCCGGAAUUAUUGGGCGUAAAGGGUGCGUAGGCGGUCUAGUAAGUCAGUGGUGUAAUGGCAACGCUCAACGUUGUCCGGCUAUUGAAACUGCUAAACUUGAGUUAGAUAGAGGCGAGUGGAAUUCCAUGUGUAGCGGUAAAAUGCGUAAAUAUAUGGAGGAACACCAGAGGCGUAGGCGGCUCGCUGGGUCUUAACUGACGCUGAGGCACGAAAGCGUGGGGAGCAAACAGGAUUAGAUACCCUGGUAGUCCACGCCGUAAACGAUGAGUACUAAGUGUCGGGUUAAACCGGUACUGAAGUUAACACAUUAAGUACUCCGCCUGAGUAGUACGUACGCAAGUAUGAAACUUAAAGGAAUUGACGGGACUCCGCACAAGCGGUGGAUCAUGUUGUUUAGUUCGAAGAUACCCGAAAAACCUUACCAGGUCUUGACAUGUUUUUGCGAAACGGUAGUAAUAUCGUAGAGGUUAUCAGAAACACAGGUGGUGCAUGGUUGUCGUCAGCUCGUGUCGUGAGAUGUUAGGUUAAGUCCUAAAACGAGCGAAACCCUUAUCGUUAGUUGCCAGCACGUUAUGGUGGGGACUUUAACGAGACUGCCAGUGAUAAACUGGAGGAAGGUGAGGAUCACGUCAAAUCAGCAUGCCCCUUAUGACCUGGGCUACAAACGUGAUACAAUGGCUGUUACAAAGAGUAGCUGAA
rnacentral:rRNA from 1 species